UACGUAGGGUGCAAGCGUUAAUCGGAAUUACUGGGCGUAAAGCGUGCGCAGGCGGUUAUGCAAGACAGAGGUGAAAUCUCCGGGCUUAACUCGGAACGGUCAAGUGAUACUGUCGGACUAGAGUACAGAAGGGGCAACUGGAAUUCUCGGUGUAGCGGUGAAAUGCGUAGAUAUCGAGAGGAACACCUGCGGCGAAGGCGGGUUGCUGGGCUGAUACUGACGCUGAGGCGCGAAAGCCAGGGGAGCGAACGGGG
rnacentral:rRNA from 1 species